rnacentral:rRNA from 1 species
UACCCGCCGAAUUUAAGCAUAUAAUUA